rnacentral:rRNA from 1 species
UACGUAGGGUGCAGGCGUUAAUCGGAAUUACUGGGCGUAAAGCGUGCGCAGGCGGUUUCUUAAGUCAGAUGUGAAAGCCCCGGGCUUAACCUGGGAACUGCGUUUGAAACUGAGAGACUAGAGUGUGGCAGAGGGGGGUGGAAUUCCACGUGUAGCAGUGAAAUGCGUAGAUAUGUGGAGGAACACCGAUGGCGAAGGCAGCCCCCUGGGUUAACACUGACGCUCAGGCACGAAAGCGUGGGGAGCAAACAGG